rnacentral:rRNA from 1 species
CGUAGGUGCAAGCGUUAAUCGGAAUUACUGGGCGUAAGCGUGCGCAGGCGGUUUGUAAGACUGUCGUGAAAUCCCCGGGCUCAACCUGGGAAUGGCGAUGGUGACUGCAAGGCUAGAGUUUGGCAGAGGGGGUAGGAAUUCCACGUGUAGCAGUGAAAUGCGUAGAUAUGUGGAGGAACACCGAUGGCGAAGGCAGCCCCCUGGGUCAAAACUGACGCUCAUGCACGAAAGCGUGGGAGCAAACAGGAUU